AAUGGAUUACUUCUGAUUGCU
rnacentral:miRNA from 1 species